CCAGUUUAGAGGCAAAGCUGGUGCAUACUGCAGGCACUGACCAACUUAUUCGGUCUGCCAUUGAGGAAACAAAGCUGCACUAUAAGCUUACGGGAUGGAAAGGACAAGGAUGUGGCUUUCAGAAGCUGUUUAUUUCAGGAUGACCUGUGUAGAGGAUUACCAUCAGUCCAUGGCAUGUAGUUCCUAUCAGAAUGUAGGGAAGGAUACAGGCCUAUAGAUAUCAAAGAAAGUAGUUGCUUGUGCAUGAAAGCUGAAGACAGUAGCAGCA
rnacentral:lncRNA from 12 species